UACGGAGGGUGCAAGCGUUAUCCGGAUUUACUGGGUUUAAAGGGUGCGCAGGCGGUCUAUUAAGUCCGGGGUGAAAUCCUACAGCUCAACUGUAGAACUGCCUUGGAUACUAUUAGACUUGAAUCAAGUAUAGGUCAGCGGAAUACAACAUGUAGCGGUGAAAUGCAUAGAUAUGUUGUGGAACACCGAUUGCGAAGGCAGCUGACUGGGCUUGUAUUGACGCUCAUGCACGAAAGCGUGGGUAGCGAACAGG
rnacentral:rRNA from 1 species